rnacentral:rRNA from 1 species
UACGGAGGAUGCAAGCGAUGUCCGGAUUUAUUGGGCUUAAAGGGUGCGUAGGCGGCCUAUUAAGUUAGUGGUGAAAACGUGCGGCUUAACCGGAUACCCGCCAUUGAUACUGAUAGACUUGAGUGCGACAGAGGGUGUUGGAAUGUGUGGUGUAGCGGUGAAAUGCUUAGAUAUCACGCAGAACACCAAUUGCGAAGGCAGAUGCCUAUGUCGUAACUGACGAUGAGGCACGAAAGCGUGGGGAGCAAACAGG